GAGUGGCGAACGGGUGAGUAAUGCGUGACCGACCUGCCCCAUACACCGGAAUAGCUCCUGGAAACGGGUGGUAAUGCCGGAUGCUCCAGUUGAUCGCAUGGUCUUCUGGGAAAGCUUUCGCGGUAUGGGAUGGGGUCGCGUCCUAUCAGCUUGACGGCGGGGUAACAGCCCACCGUGGCUUCGACGGGUAGCCGGCCUGAGAGGGCGACCGGCCACAUUGGGACUGAGAUACGGCCCAGACUCCUACGGGAGGCAGCAUG
rnacentral:rRNA from 1 species